GUGGGGAAUAUUGGACAAUGGGCGAAAGCCUGAUCCAGCCAUGCCGCGUGUGUGAAGAAGGUCUUCGGAUUGUAAAGCACUUUAAGUUGGGAGGAAGGGCAGUAAGUUAAUACCUUGCUGUUUUGACGUUAACGACAGAAUAAGCACCGGCUAACUUCGUGCCAGCAGCCGCGGUAAUACGAAGGGUGCAAGCGUUAAUCGGAAUUACUGGGCGUAAAGCGCGCGUAGGUGGUUUUGUAAGUUGGAGGUGAAAUCCCCGGGCUCAACCUGGGAACUGCCUCCAAAACUGCAUGACUAGAGUACGGUAGAGGGUAGUGGAAUUUCCUGUGUAGCGGUGAAAUGCGUAGAUAUAGGAAGGAACACCAGUGGCGAAGGCGACUACCUGGACUGAUACUGACACUGAGGUGCGAAAGCGUGGGGAGCAAACAGGAUUAGAAACCCCGGUAGUCC
rnacentral:rRNA from 1 species